GACGAACGCUGGCGGCGUGCUUAACACAUGCCAGUCGAACGGAAAGGCCCUGCUUUUGUGGGGUGCUCGAGUGGCGAACGGGUGAGUAACACGUGAGUAACCUGCCCUUGACUUUGGGAUAACUUCAGGAAACUGGGGCUAAUACCGGAUAGGAGCUCCUGCUGCAUGGUGGGGGUUGGAAAGUUUCGGAGGUUGGGGAUGGACUCGGGGCUUAUCAGCUUGUUGGUGGGGUAGUGGCUUACCAAGGCUUUGACGGGUAGCCGGCCUGGGAGGGUGGCCAGCCACCUUGGGACUGAGAUACGGCGCAGACGCCUACGGGAGGCAGCAGUGGGGAAUAUUGCACAAUGGGCGGGAGCCUGAUGCAGCAACGCCGCGUGCGGGAUGACGGCCUUCGGGUUGUAAACCGCUUUCGCCUGUGACGAAGCGUGAGUGACGGUAAUGGGUAAAGAAGCACCGGCUAACUACGUG
rnacentral:rRNA from 1 species